rnacentral:rRNA from 1 species
AUUGAACGCUGGCGGCAGGCCUAACACAUGCAAGUCGAACGAGGGGCGGAGGGGUGAGAAGUGUCUGGAAAACUGCCAGAGGGGGGGGGAUAAACAGUGAAAAGGAUAGAUAAUACCGAAUACCAUCAGAUGUGCAACGAGGGGAUGAGCUUGUUGGUGGGGUAAUGGCUCACCAUGGCGACGAUCCCUAGGGGGUCUGAGAGGAUGACCAGCCACACUGGAACUGAGACACGGCCCAGACUCCUACGGGAGGCAGCAGUGGGGAAUAUUGCACAAUGGGCGCAAGCCUGAUGCAGCCAUGCCGCGUGUAUGAAGAAGGCCUUCGGGUUGUAAAGUACUUUCAGCCGGGAGGCGUUACCGGCAGAAGAAGCACCGGCUAACUCCGUGCCAGCAGCCGCGGUAAUAC